AGCGAGACUGAAGACACUGACGAGAAGGAGAAGAGUGAUAAAUCAGGUGCAGACAAAACAGAUCCUGAUCGCUCUUCAGAAAAAGGAGACAGCAAAUGCAGACAGCGAUGCAGACAGUGGCGUAGACAGCACAGGUCCAAAAGGCGAGGAUGAAGGUUUAGACAAGGACAAGGACAGCUCACACAAGACCAGCGACGACACCAGCAACGACAGCAAUGAGGGAAAAGAGAUCGAGAGGGAAACCACGACUGAAAACGAAGACAAAGACUCUGAGAAAUCUAAAGAGACCGCCGAAGAACCGUCUUCUGUAGACUCCCAGGAAAGCCAAAAGACCGCCUCCUCCAGCUCAGACUCCUCCCACUCCUCAAGCAAAGAAAACAACCAGGACCAGGAGAAGAGCAGCGCCGAGUCCACUGAUAAAGACAGCUCAGACAGUUCGGACCGGGACAGCACCGAGACCGAGGGAGAGGUUGCAGAUGACAGUGACAGCAGCCCAGAGACGGAGACGUCAGAUGAAAACGACAACAGCGACUCGAUGGACGCAACAGAGUCGACGUCACAUGAUGAGACCACUGAUGAAGAGACGGACACAGACACUACUGUGCCUGAUGGGAUACCCCCCCCCGGUCAGGUCUUAGCAUCCAGGAUAUAAUAACAUGCAGCAGUUUAACAGGGUCAUCCGACACAACAACAGAAGCAACUCAAGUGGCCAUAAUAACCCGUCGCAUUCUGAUUCCCGUUAACACACGACACGUUUAAAUGCCAUCUCUCUCUCUCUCUCUCUCUCUCUCUCUCACAUGGUGAAGGGUUCUAUCUAGAGGGUUCUGGGAUGCACGUUAAAUUAUUCAGCUGUUUUUGGUGUACAUUCUGUUUCUCCCAUAUUUGAUAAACUAAUUUCUUUUUCAUGUAACUUAUGAAGAGGAUCUCAGAGGUCACGUUGGCUCUUUAGUAGUUAGUGUUAAACAAUUAAAGGUCAGUGGAGAGUGAUGGUGAUUCACGGUUUCGAGUCUUUUCUGCUUUUCGUUUGUUUGCUGCUGUCUGUGGCCCUGGUGGUAAGACAUCCUGUACAACUCCUACACUGACAAUGUUCUCCUGACUCAGCUAAACGUCCGGUGGUUCACAUCUCCAGCGCGAGAGCCGGACUGUAGAUGAGGCUGUUUUCUACAAAUUAAAGUGUACAGACUGUUUUAUGAAACACUCCUUUACGCUGGCGUCUCUGAAGGCGUAUUAACUAAUACUGUAGUGACGUAAUGGCACAGACUGUUUUGUGAAUUACUGAGGUAACACAGAUGUAUAGAUUUAAUUAAUGUCACUCAAAUAUGUAUGCAGGGAGCAAUUCUAAUAAAGACUGAGUUGUCAGACCA
rnacentral:lncRNA from 1 species